UACGUAGGGGGCAAGCGUUGUCCGGAUUUAUUGGGCGUAAAGAGCGCGUAGGCGGCCCUGUAAGUCCGCUGUGAAAGUCAAGGGCUCAACCCUUGAAUGCCGGUGGAUACUGCAGGGCUAGAGUCCGGAAGAGGCGAGUGGAAUUCCCGGUGUAGCGGUGAAAUGCGUAGAUAUCGGGAAGAACACCAGUGGCGAAGGCGCUCUACUGGGCCACAACUGACGCUGAGGCGCGAAAGCUAGGGGAGCAAACAGG
rnacentral:rRNA from 1 species